rnacentral:misc_RNA from 1 species
AAACUAAGAGGAGCGAAGUUGUAUACACAACGACAAAAUAAAUCAGAUGUAUUUCGAAUGAAACAAAAUAAAUAAACAUACGAUUCUGAAGAAAGCCGAAUAGAUUAGCAAACACACUAACUUUUAAGAGUCAUUAGAUUUUCCCAACAUGCAAAAGCCAUACCAAAUACAAACAGCAAAUAAUGAAACAUUCCAGAACGUGAAUAAAUUAACAUUCAGGGAUUUGCAUCAUGCUGAAGUAGCAAACAAACAGUAGCUCAAAUCACCAAAUUGACAACUA